UUUAAUAUAUAUUUUUUUAGAUAUUUUUAAACAAACCUAAAUCCUAACGAAACAGAGACGAGAGCAAACCCAAUCCAAUCCUCGUACCGAUGAAGCAGCUGACAACAGUGAUGGUGUAGCACAUGGGCAGUGUGAUUCUCCAAUCUUUGAGUUCAAGCUCCCAAUGAUUCUCAGUUAGUUUCAGCAUUUUUUGAAGCAAAGUGUGGAUUCUGGUACCUACAAGGACAAAAGGGCAUCAACCUGUGCUGGUUAUGCGAUCCAUAACUAUUUUGUGUGAUGUUUCGUUGGUUAUUUGGAACUGCGAGAAAUUGCGGGUUCCUUCAUGGUUGUCAACAAGAAUACAUUUACCAGCAGAAGUUUAGUCUGGUGAACAUAAAGUUGAAAUGGGUGAAAGAUAGGACACUGGAUGCUGCUGUUGCUGGUGAGAGGGAUCUUAAGGCAGCUGGAAUCCUUGUUUCACUCAUUUAUUCUUCUUCUGAAUGCUGCGUUCCCAUAUACCAUCUUUCUCGACAUCGCGGACAACUUGGUCUUCCCCAUGACCUUAAGCUCUCCACUUUUAUCAGAAGGUAUCCUAAUAUUUUUACUGAGUCCUUUUUUCAUGAUAGUGGAGGCACUCCUGUCCCGUGUUUCGGCUUGAGUCCUGAAGCGUUGAAGCUCCACCGUGAGGAAGUCAGCAUACUUGAGCAAAAUCGGUUGGAACUCAGGGACAGGCUAUGCAAAUUGCUCAUGCUCACAAGAGAUAGGAUCCUUCCACUGCAAACCAUUGACCAGUUGAAAUGGGACUUGGGUUUACCGUAUGAUUACCAGCAUUCUUUUGUUCCGAAUCACCCCGAAAGGUUCUCUUUCGUUCGGCUCCCUGAUGAUCGUGCUGGCUUGAAAUUGUUAUUUUGGGAUGACGAGCUUGCCAUCUCAGAGUUACAGAAGAAUAUUUCUCUGCAACAAAAUGAAGAAGACAUAAAAAACGGAUCCUUAGCAUUUCCAGUUAGUUUCACAAGGGGUUUUGGUUUGAAGAGAAAGUGCAUGGAGUGGUUGAAAGAGUGGCAGAAACUUCCCUAUACUUCGCCUUACACCAAUGCAUCGCAUUUGGAUCCUCGUACUGAUGUAUCUGAGAAGAGGGUCGUUGGAGUCUUUCAUGAGCUCCUUCACCUCACACUUCAUAAGCAAACCGAGCGUAAGAAUGUUAGCAACUUACGUACACCCUUGGCCCUUCCUCAGAAGUUCACUAAAGCGUUCGAGCGUCAUCCUGGUAUUUUUUACAUAUCCAGGAAGAGUGACACCCAAACAGUUGUUCUAAGGGAGGCCUUCAAUGGUCGGGAACUAAUGCAGAAACAUCCUCUUGUGAAAAUUAGAGAGGAAUUUGCAAGUCUACUGAAGAAAGGGCUACUCGAUCGGAGUAGGGGCGUGUACAAAAAACGCAUAGAUGCUAAUUGCGUGGAGGGAGCGAGAAAGGAAGUUCGCAUCACUCAAAAUACUAGCCAGCUUAAUUCUGAUGAUGAAUUAGAUUCUAUGUUUUCUGAAUAUGAUUCAGAUGAUGACCCUCUACAUAACCCUAGCUGAUGUAUCCCAAUGUUGAUUCUCCUUGCUUGCCAUUGUGUUGUUGUGGUUUGGCUUAGUGAGAUUCUCGAAAUCUGGCCUUGAUGGGAUGCUUUCAUCACACCGUGCGCCAACUUCGUCCACUUAACUUGUGAAGAUCUGUCAGCAGCCAAAUAUAUCAACAGUGUUAUUAUCUUAGCGAGGGAGAGCAUAUUGUGUUAAGAUAAGAUUCUGGAAUGAGGGUGCCAGCUCAAUCUGGUUAGAAGAUUAGUGGCAUGGUUAAGAUGGACGCAGAUCUCCAAGUUGCAAACAUCCCUGACUGGGGUGAGACAAAGCUCUAUGCCGCUUAGUUUUGCCAUGACGUGUGAGGAUACUUGCUUUUUCUGUUAUGAGAAGAAAAAUUAGGAUCUUACCAAGCCAGAAAAGUUAUGGUGCCCUCAUAACAUGAUCAUUGAGAUUGGAUGUGAACAGGCACAGCAUUGCAACUAUCUUACAUUUUUAUGUAUUGGAAACCAAACGAGUUCUUGAACGUUAACGAGGGAGGUUUUAAGUUUUAAGAUCUAACUACAAUUAAGUGGGAGUUAUGCAUGUGUUGAGAGAGCAUUGAAGUUAUGUACUUUUGUCUUC